UCUCAAAGAUUAAGCCAUGCAUGUCUAAGUACAUGCCGUAUUAAGGCGAAACCGCGAAUGGCUCAUUAAAUCAGUUACGGUUCCUUAGAUGUUGACUAUCUACAUGGAUAACUGUGGUAAUUCUAGAGCUAAUACAUGCACAAAAGCUUCGACUCGGCGACGGGAAGAAGCGCAUUUAUUAGACCAAGACCAAUGGGGUGUCGUUCGGUUUCGGCCGUCGGCACUCUUAACCCAUUGUGGUGACUCUGGAUAACUGACGCUGAUCGCAUGGCCUACGUGCCGGCGACGAAUCUUUCAAGUGUCUGCCUUAUCAACUGUCGAUGGUAGGUUAUGCGCCUACCAUGGUUGUAACGGGUAACGGGGAAUCAGGGUUCGAUUCCGGAGAGGGAGCCUGAGAAACGGCUACCACAUCCAAGGAAGGCAGCAGGCACGCAAAUUACUCACUCCCGGUACGGGGAAGUAGUGACGAAAAAUAACAAUACGGGACUCUAAUGAGGCCCCGUAAUUGGAAUGAGUACAAUUUAAAUCCUUUAACGAGGAUCCAUUGGAGGGCAAGUCUGGUGCCAGCAGCCGCGGUAAUUCCAGCUCCAAUAGCGUAUAUUAAAGUUGUUGCGGUUAAAAAGCUCGUAGUUGGAUCUCAGUUCAUAGUGGUUAACAUUGAACGGGUCCACUCUUGUCAGGGUGGUUACUCGGCCACUUGAACACGCUGCCCAUUGAAUGGGUAGUCGAAUCGCCGUUGUCUGGUGUACGGUGUGUCGCAAGAUGCAGCGCAACACGGGCGGUAUGAGCGGCUAUCUUUCUGGCGGUACUCUUAACCGAGUGUCGUUGGCGAUGGGCAUGUUUACUUUGAAAAAAUUAGAGUGCUUAAAGCAGGCAUAUUGUUAUGCCCGAAUAAUGUUGCAUGGAAUAAUGGAAUAGGACCUCGGUUCUAUUUUGUUGGUCUUCGGAACUCUGAGGUAAUGAUUAAGAGGGACAGACGGGGGCAUUCGUACUGUUGCAUUAGAGGUGAAAUUCUUGGAUUGCAGCAAGACGAACUAAAGCGAAAGCAUUUGCCAAGAAUGUUUUCAUUAAUCAAGAACGAAAGUUAGAGGUUCGAAGGCGAUCAGAUACCGCCCUAGUUCUAACCAUAAACGAUGCCAACCAGCGAUCAGCAUGAGUUCCUCAAAAUGACUCUGCUGGCAGCUUCCGGGAAACCAAAGUUUUUCGGUUCCGGGGGAAGUAUGGUUGCAAAGCUGAAACUUAAAGGAAUUGACGGAAGGGCACCACCAGGAGUGGAGCCUGCGGCUUAAUUUGACUCAACACGGGAAAACUUACCCGGCCCGGACACUGGAAGGAUUGACAGAUUGAGAGCUCUUUCUUGAUUCAGUGGGUGGUGGUGCAUGGCCGUUCUUAGUUGGUGGAGCGAUUUGUCUGGUUAAUUCCGAUAACGAACGAGACUCUAGCCUACUAAAUAGACUGCCGCGUCCGUUGGUGUAAAAGCUACGGUUCGCAUCGGCCUUUCGAUGCCGGCAGGGCUUCUUAGAGGGACAGGCGGCGCGUCAGCCGCACGAAACAGAGCAAUAACAGGUCUGUGAUGCCCUUAGAUGUCCGGGGCCGCACGCGCGCUACACUGAAGUGAUCAGCGUGUUUGAAGUGCCCGUAAAACAGGUACGGUCCUGCUCCGAAAGGAGUGGGUAACCCGUUGAACCUUCUUCGUGAUUGGGAUAGGAGAUUGUAAUUAUUCUCCUUGAACGAGGAAUUCCCAGUAAGCGCGAGUCAUAAGCUCGCGUUGAUUACGUCCCUGCCCUUUGUACACACCGCCCGUCGCUACUACCGAUUGAAUGAUUUAGUGAGGUCUUCGGACCGGCCGACGCAGUUGCCGUUUCGGCGUGUGACCGCGUUGUGCUCGGAAAGAUGCCCAAACUUGAUCAUUUAGAGGAAGUAAAAGUCGUAA
rnacentral:rRNA from 1 species